AUGCACGCUGGCGGCGUGCCUAAUCCCUGCCAGUCGAGCGAACAGACGAGGAGCUUGCUCCUCUGACGUUAGCGGCGGACGGGUGAGUAACACGUGGAUAACCUACCUAUAAGACUGGGAUAACUUCGGGAAACCGGAGCUAAUACCGGAUAAUAUAUUGAACCGCAUGGUUCAAUAGUGAAAGACGGUUUUGCUGUCACUUAUAGAUGGAUCCGCGCCGCAUUAGCUAGUUGGUAAGGUAACGGCUUACCAAGGCAACGAUGCGUAGCCGACCUGAGAGGGUGAUCGGCCACACUGGAACUGAGACACGGUCCAGACUCCUACGGGAGGCAGCAGUAGGGAAUCUUCCGCAAUGGGCGAAAGCCUGACGGAGCAACGCCGCGUGAGUGAUGAAGGUCUUCGGAUCGUAAAACUCUGUUAUUAGGGAAGAACAAAUGUGUAAGUAACUAUGCACGUCUUGACGGUACCUAAUCAGAAAGCCACGGCUAACUACGUG
rnacentral:rRNA from 1 species